rnacentral:lncRNA from 1 species
AUUUCGAAAAGCAAUGAAAAAGGCUAUUGAAUUAACAGAACAAGUACAAAUUGCGGGGCGUAUCGACGGAAAAGAAAUUGCACGUGUCGAAUGGAUCAGAGAAGGCAAGGUUCCCCUACAAACGAUUCGAGCUAAAAUUGAUUAUUGCUCUUAUACAGUUCGAACUAUCUAUGGAAUAUUGGGCAUCAAAAUUUAGAUAUUUCUAGACGAGGAAUAAUUUUAGUACUUGUCUUUCCCUUCUAUCCAAUGAUUGAACAAAAAAAAAGACCAAUUCAUUCUUUUUCUAAUCAAGGGGAACAUUACUAAUUCUUAAUUCUUUCUAAUUCUUAAUUCUAUAAGGUUGAAUAAAAAUUCGAUUGACCAUUUGAUAUAAUUGCUAUGCUUAGCGUGUGACUCGUAGGUUUUGUUAGGGUUAGGAUUACAAAAACCCAGCCCACAUAGUAUGAACUAAAAACUAUAGAACUAAUAACCAACCCAUCACUUCGCAUUAUCUGGAUCUAAAGAACCAGUCAAGAUAUGAUAUAUAGGUCAUAUCUUUGUAGCAACUGAAAUCUUUUGCAUAAACAAAAAAAUCUGCUUCUAAGUUGUAAAGCAAAAUAGACAAAAAAGAUGUGGAUAAAGGGAAGGAUGAGAGAAAGAGAGAAAAAGAAUACCAAUGAUAUAAAAUUCCAAUAUGUAAGGUCUAUGAGUAAUCUCAUAAAAGACAGUGUAAUAAAGCAUCAAUACGCAUUCAUACCAUACUAAAAAGAAUCUUCUUAUAGAAAUAGAACAAAAAAUCAAGAGCUUCGAUCCAAUAAAGACAAAGAAGAUUGACUCAAGAAACAAUUUGAUUCUGAGCUCCAUUGAAGAAUUCGGACCUAACCAUUAAGUAAGAAGUGAUUGGAACGACGGAACUUGUGAAUGCAAAAGAUUCUAUUGAAAAAGGAAUCUUAAUGAUUCACUGGUCGGGAUGGCGGAACGAACCAUAGAUUAGUUCAUGUAUUCUGAGAUUUGAGAAGUCACGAGUUAACCCUACAAAUGAAAUAGGGAUUGAAAGAGUAAAUAUUCGCCCGCGAAAACUUUUUUAUUGCAAAAUUUAGGACAAUACAAUAAAGGACAAAAUAAGGAUUUGGUAUAAUAAUACAAUUUUUUUUAUUUCUCUUUAGAAAAGUACAAAGUUUAGUUAUCUAUUCAAACAAGAUAUACCAAUUACUAAUAGAUUUAAUGAAAUCUCAAAGAAGCCCACGUUCAAGGUAUUACUCAGUAAAUACAUAUCUUAUAUAUCUUAACUUAAGAUUUACUAUUCUAGCUUAAUUCAAAUAGAAUUUUUUUGAAUCCUUUUAUUUGCGGGAGCUGGAUGAGAAGAAACUCUCACGUCCGGUUCUGUAGUAGAGAUGGAAUUCAGAACCAACCAUCAACUAUAACCCCAAAAGAACCAGAUUCCGUAAACAACAUAGAGGCAGAAUGAAGGGAAUAUCUUAUCGAGGUAAUCGUAUUUCUUUCGGUAAAUAUGCUCUUCAGGCACUUGAACCUGCUUGGAUUACAUGUCGACAAAUAGAAGUAGGCCGACGGGCAAUGACACGAAAUGCACGUCGUGGUGGAAAAAUAUGGGUACGUAUAUUUCCAGACAAACCAGUUACAUUAAGACCGGCAGAAACCCGUAUGGGUUCAGGAAAAGGAUCCCCUGAAUAUUGGGUAGCUGUUGUAAACAGGGGCAAAUACUUUAUGAAAUGGGUGGAGUAACAGAAAAUAUAGCCAGAAGGGCUAUUUCACUAGAAGCAUCCAAAAUGCCUAUACGAACUCAAUUCAUUAUUUCGUAAUGUAAUAGAAAAAAAUGUAGAAAGGGCUCUUAGAUAUGAAAGAAAACCGCAUGUUUCUUUUUUUGGACAAAAAUAUUUCUUUUUUUUUCUUCGCCCUUUGCAUUCAAAGAACGGAUUAAAAAAAUGAUUCAACCUCAGACCCAUUUAAAUGUAGCGGAUAAUAGCGGGGCUCGAGAAUUGAUGUGUAUUCGAAUCAUAGGAGCUAGCAAUCCUCGAUAUGCUCAUAUUGGUGACGUUAUUGUUGCUGUGAUCAAAGAAGCAAUACCAAAUAUGCCCCUAGAAAGAUCAGAAGUAGUCAGAGCUGUAAUUUUGCAUACCUGUAAAGAACUCAAACGUGACAACGGGAUGAUAAUACUAUACGAUGACAAUGCUGCAGUUGUUAUUGAUCAAGAAGGAAAUCCAAAAGGAACUCGAAUUUUUGGUGCAAUCGCCCGGGAAUUGAGAGAAUUAAAUUUUACUAAAAUAGUUUCAUUAGCUCCCGAGGUAUUAUAAAAUGAAAUUGUGAUCUGUUUCGAGUGGGGUAUUUGAAAGAAAUAGAUUAAUUUGUAGAUUGUGUCUCACGCAUAUAUCUUUAAUAAUUCAUAUCAUAUUAAAAAAUAAAUAAGUAAAAAAACACGUUGAUUAUAUCAAAUUUGGAGACCCCAAUAAUUUUAGUUCAUCAUGGGCAGGGACACUAUUGUUGAGAUAAUAACUUCUAUACGAAAUGCUGAUAUGGAUCGAAAAAGGGUGGUUCGAAUAGCAUCUACUAAUAUUACCGAAAAUAUUUUUCAAAUACUUUUAUGAGAGGGUUUUAUCAAAAACGUGAGAAAACAUCGAGAAAACAACAAAUAAUGGGGAUUGUUAUUCUUUCUACUUCUCGAGGUAUAAUGACAGACCGAGAGGCUCGACUAGAAGGAAUAGGUGGAGAAAUUUUGUGUUAUAUCUGGUAAUCCUUUAUAAUAUGCAAAUUGAAUUCGAAACUUCCUAUUUGCGAAAAAGGAGGGGAGAGUUAUCUAAUAUCUUUCGCAUUAGUUGAUACCUCAAAGGAACUUUGUUUUAUACAGAUACUGCAAGGAGAUAGAGUCAAAAUUGAAGUAAGUCCUUAUGAUUCAACCAAAGGACAUAUAAUUUAUCGACUCCACAACAAAGAUUUGAAGGAUUAGGUUUUCAACUUCACCAUUCCUUUCGUGGGAAUACAAUUCGAGAUGAAAAAUUUCAAGAAACUUAUUUUCUUCCAAGAAAUAGAUUCAGAAUUAAGGUAAGGAAUGAUAAAUAUGAAAAUAAGAGCUUCCGUUCGUAAAAUUUAUGAAAAAUGUCGACUAAUCCGUAGGAGGGGGCGCAUUAUAGUAAUUUGUUCCAACCCGAGACAUAAACAAAGACAGGGCUAAUCAGAUUUGCCAGAAGAGCCGAUGUACAAAUAAAGAAUCUGUUUUGACAUGAAAUGGAUAUAUCCAUAUAUCUCUGACUCAUAUUUACGAGAUGAUAAAAUAUGGCAAAAGCUAUACCAAAAAUUAGUUCGCGUCGGAAUGGACGUAUUAGUUCACGUAAGGGUGCACGUAGAAUACCAAAGGGAGUUAUUCAUGUUCAAGCAAGUUUCAAUAAUACCAUUAUCACUGUUACAGAUGUACGGGGUCGAGUAGUUUCUUGGUCCUCAACUGGUACUUCUGGAUUCAAAGGUACGAGAAGAGGAACACUGUUUGCUGCUCAAACCGCAGCAACAAACGCUAUCCGUACAGUAGUUGAUCAAGGUAUGGAACGAGCAGAAGUCAUGAUAAAAGGUCCCGGUCUCGGAAGAGAUGCAGCAUUACGAGCUAUUCGUCGCAGUGGUAUACUAUUAACUUUCGUACGGGAUGUAACUCCGAUGCCACAUAAUGGCUGUAGACCUCUGAAAAAAAGACGUGUGUAGAACUGAACAUUGAAGAAAUCUCAAGAGAAAAAAAAGAUUCGAUGAUCUAAUCAAAUAAUAGUACUAUGGUUCGAGAGAAAGUAACAGUAUCUACUCGGACACUACAGUGGAAGUGUGUUGAAUCAAGAACAGACAGUAAACGCCUUUAUUAUGGACGCUUUAUUCUGUCUCCACUUAUGAAAGGCCAAGCCGACACAAUAGGCAUUGCGAUGCGAAGAGCUUUACUUGGGGAAAUAGAAGGAACAUGUAUCACACGUGUAAAAUCUGAGAAAGUACCACAUGAAUAUUCUACCAUAACGGGCAUUCAAGAAUCGGUACAUGAAAUUUUAAUGAAUUUGAAAGAGAUUGUAUUGAGAAGUAAUUUAUAUGGAACUUCUGAGGCGUCUAUUUGUUUCAAUGGUCCCGGAUAUGUAACUGCUCAAGAUAUCAUCUUGCCACCUUAUGUGGAAAUCGUUGAUAAUACACAACAUAUAGCUAGUUUAACGGAACCAAUUGAUUUUUGUAUUAGAUUACAAUAGAGAGAAAUCGUGGAUAUCUUAUAAAAACGCCACAUAACUUUCAAGAUGGAAGUUAUCCUAAAGAUGCUUUAUUCAUGCCUGUUCGAAACGCGAAUCAUAGUAUUCAUUCUUAUGGGAAUGGGAAUGAAAAACAAGAGAUACUUUUUAUCGAAAUAUGGACAAACGGAAGUUUAACUCCGAAAAAAGCACUUCAUGACGCAUCCCAAAAUUUAAUUGAUUUAUUUAUUCCCUUUUUACAUAUGGAGGAAGACAACUUAUAUUUACAGGACAAUCAACACACGGUUCCUUUAUCCCCUUUUACCUUUCAUGAUAAAUUGGCUAAACUCAUAAAAAACAAAAAAAAAUAGCAUUGAAAUCAAUUUUUAUUGACCAAUAAGAAUUGUCUUCCAGGAUCUAUAAUUGCCUCAAAAUGUCCAAUAUAUAUUCAUUAUUGGACCUUUUGAAUAACAGCCAAGAAGAUCUUAUGAAAAUUGAACAUUUUCGUAGCGAAGAUAUAAAACAGAUAUUGGACAUUUUAGAAAAAUAUUUCAUAAUUGAUUUAGCAAAAAAUAAGUUUUAAAUCUAUUGGACUUACUUAGUGAAAAUAGAUUGAAAAAGCACAAUUUAGCACAAUUAAUAUAUCAUAUAUUAGAUAUUAGAAAGAAAUUAAUAAUGAAAUUGAAUAGAUGUAUCUAGGGAGAAUUCGCUUUGAAGAAACUAUUCCCUAGAUACACAUGUCGUGUUAGUUCACAAUUGAAUCAAUUAAAAAAUUUAAAAAAGACCUAAAGUUAGGGAUUUAUCAAUAGGUAAUGUUGCACCAAUGCCCAACCAAAGGGCGACUGCGGUACCAAUCAAAAAGACAGUCGUCGCUACUGGACGGCGAAAUGGAUUUUGGAAUUUAUUAACAUUCUCUAAAAAAGGUACUGUUAAUAAUCCCGCAGGUACUGAAACCAUUAAAAGAACCCCCAAUAAUUUAUUAGGCACUGUACGAAGUAUUUGAAAUACAGGAAAGAAAUACCAUUCAAGUAAGAUUUCCAAAGGGGUUGCAAAUGGAUCCGCUGGUUCACCAAUCAUUGAUGGUUCUAAAACGGCUAAGCCUACAUUACAUGCAAUAGUACCUAGAAUUACUACUGGAAAAAUAUAUAAAAGAUCAUUGGGCCAUGCGGGCUCGCCAUAAUAAUUAUGACCCAUACCCUUAGCCAAUUUAGCUCUUAAUACAGGAUCAUUCAAGUCAGGUUUUUUUGUAAUUGGGAUAGGUGAAUUCUUAUAGAUCCAUCCCCCGAGGGAACUGGACAUGAUAAUUUUUAAUCAUCCAGCUCGAGCAAGAAUAUUCUUCGAAUAAGUAAGCCCAGACUAUGCCAUCCUAAGGUUGAAACCGGUAGGUAGAGAAGGCCGUUUAGGGGAGUAAACAAAGUUGAGGCGCUGUUAGGGUAACUAAUCAAAGAAGAAAGCUGUAGUAGUGACCAGACGAGAUGAUUAUUAAAUCAUUAUUUUUGCAUAAUAAGCAAGUAUAAUUUAUUAAGAAGUUGGAAGGAAUAAAGUUUUAGUGAAAAAUGAAAAUAAUAAAAAUGGAAACAUACCUAUUAGACGAUAAUGUUGAUUAUAAGAUAUUACUACUAUAUAUACUAAAAAAUUUGAAUACUGAUAUAAAAAGAGAAAUUUAUAAUAAAUUAUUAACAUAUGAGAUAAUAGAAAUAACAACCCAAGGUUGGACUGAGUUAACCAUACAAAGUAUACAAGAUGAGCUUUAUUAUGACAUGUAUCAUUUAUAUGAUGAUUUAGAUAUUGGAGAUUAAAUAUGACUGAAUAUUGGCUAAGACGAUAUGGUAGAAAUUACAGGUUAAAAAAGAUUAAAUAUCCAGAUAAAUUAAGUAGACUUUUUAAAAUAUUAUAUAAAAAAUUAUGAUGAAUAAAAAUACUAAAAUAGAAAGAACCAAGAUAGAUAAAAAGGUAAGAAAAAUAUGGAAAAAAUUAAGACCCUUGUAUAUAGAAUAUGAACUAUCGCAACUAGUCAAAACAGACAAUGGUAAAAAAGAUCAAUUGAUAAAUAUAAUUUCGAAAACCGAAUACAAAUAUGUUCGCUAUUUGAAAAAACAGUAUGAACAAAGAAAUUUAUAAACAACAAUUAAUAGAAAAAAUAAUGGAAAAAAUAACAGAGAAAGAACAAGAAUUACAACAUAGAAAAAAUAGGUUAGAAGAAAAUAUAUUAGCAGGAGUAUAUAGUAAAUCAAUACUAGCACAAAGAAAAGAUAUAUUAAUGUUAGAAUUAGAAUUAGAUUGUCUUGAAUAUGAAUUACAACAUAAUAUAAUACAUAGAUCAUAAUGAAUAAAGAAGAGUUUGAAGUAGACGAAAAAACAUAUGAAAACCAAGAUGGAAUGAUAAUAAAAAUAGUAUUUUCAAAUUUAGGAAGAAGAUACAAGAGAAUAGGAAAUAACUUAUACUUAAUGCUAGAAAAAGAAACAACAAAAUUAGAAGAUAGUUUAACAGCUAUGGUAAGAAUAACAAAAGAAAAUGAAGAAAUAGAUAAAUCAAGAGAAAUUGAAAAAAUAAAAACACAAGCAAAACAAGAAGUACAAAAUUUAGAAGAAAUAAAAAAUACAAGAAUAAGUGAAUUAGAAAAAGAAUUAGCUAGGUUAAAAUUAUUAUAUGAAAAUAAACAAAAACAAAAAGAUAAAGAGCUAGAAUUAACAAAUGAAAUAAAACAAAUGGAACAGAAACUAAAUGAAGAUAUUGAAGUAAAUGAAAUAGACGGAAAUGAAAAUGACCAACAAUCAGAAAUAAGUGAUAUAAGUGAAACAUAUACAGAAAUUCUAGAACAGAUAAAUAAACCAAAAAAAUUAGAAAUAAACACAGGAGAUAUGAAUAGGCCAAGUACGUCAAGAGUUAAAACCCCAGAUAAUAGUCCCAGAAAUAGUCCUAGAGUUAGUCCUAGGAGAACACCACCAACUUAUUAUACAGAAAACUAUCAACAAUCAGACAGAAAUAAUGCAAUAUGGAACAGUAGACUAAAUAAAAAUUGGACACCUAAACCAGCAAAUGAACAAUACAAUUUCUUAGAUUUAGAUUGUGUCGCAAAUAUAAAUAAAGUAAUAUUGUUAUGGGUAGGAAAUAUGUCUAAACAGUUAAUAGAUAACAAAAUAGAAACAGAAAAAACACCAAGAUACAUAGAAAGAACAUUCAUAGGAACAGCAAAAUUAUGGAUAGAAAAGCUACCCCCAGAAAGUUUAGAAGUACUUAGAAAUGAUAAGAAAAUGGAUGGAUCCCCAUCAGCAACAAAUAUAGAUAUACUAGAUAAAUAUGAAUCAGCAAUAAGAAAUGAAUUUGGAGGCAUGACUACAGAUAUAAGAGAACAAAAUAGAGAAAAAAUAAUAAAUAGACAACUUAUGACAAAAUUAGCUAUAUGUAAAAUGUGUUACUUAGAAGAAUAUACUUGCGCAUUUAAAGAAUAUUAUUACAAAACUAAAUACAAUUUAGACGAAGCAAAAGAAAUAAGAAAACAAUAUUAUACAAAAUUACCAGAACCAUUUAGUACAAAUGUGAUAAAGGAUUGGAAUAAUGAAGGAAUGGUAUAUACUUUAGGAUCUAGAAUAAAAAUUUUAAACCAAUGGUUCAUACAACUAUGUGAAAACCAAAAAGAAAAAUUAAAAAUGGAAAAAGUAUUAAAUAAAAAUUUAUCAUGUUGCAAAAAUAAAAUGGCACCACAAUUUGGAUGCACAACUAAAAAAACAAAAAUCUAAAAGAUAUAAAAAAUUAUAGAAAAAACAAAACUAUAUAUAAAUAUAAACAACCAAGACGAAGGUAUUAUGUAAAAAAUCAUAAAAUAAAAAGACCAUACAGACCAAAAAGAAAAAUAUCCCAAUGUACUUGUUAUAAUUGUGGAAAGAUAGGACACAUAGCUAAAGAUUGUAAAUUACCCAAAAAUCCAAAAAGAAAACAAAUAGAAGAAUUAAUUAUAGACAAUGAAAAAUAUAUGCAAAUAGAGUACAUAGAUUAUGAAUUAAGUGAAAAUGAUAGUAUAUAUGAAGUAUCAGACAUAGAAACUGAGAAUGAAGAAGAAAAUAUUAACAUAGAUAACAACGAAACAGAUGAAGAAAUAUAAUGUCUGAAAAUGAAAUAAAAAUAAUAUCUAAGGAAGAAUAUCAAGAUGAAGAAUCAUCAGAACAGAAAAUUAUAUUUGAUAAUACGAUAUUUGAACAAAUAAAAGGAAAAGAUUUAGAUUUAAGUGUUGAAAAAGUACUAGAAAUACCUAUUUUAAGAAAUUGGUUUAAAAGACAAAAAGAAGAAUACUAUGUAGUUAGUCAAAAAGAACAUAUCAUAGAUUGUAAAUUCACAAGAGGAAAAGCAUAUAUACCUAUAAUAAAUAAAAGAAUGAUAAAAAAAGAAAUACAAGAUAUAAAAGCUAAAACACCAAUAAAAUAUGUACAUUUAGGAGGAACAGAAAUAUUAAUAAAAGCCUGCUUUAGAGAAGGAAUAGAUACACCUAUAGAAAUAUAUUUAGCAGAUGAUAGAAUUGUACACCCUAUAGAAAAAAGCAUAAUUAGUGCAGUAAAAGGAAACUUAAUAUAUCAAAAAUUUAAGUUUACAAUAAGUGCUAAUUAUACAGUAUCAUUAACAGAUAAAAAUAUAGAUAGAUCAUUAGUUCUAUAUUGGAAAAUGUUUGGAAUAGAACUAGCACCAGGGAGCAAAUUAUUUACAGCAAGAUGUAAAAAUUUAUAUAUAUUAACAACAAAGCAUAAAAUAACAGCAAGAAAUAAAAUUAAUAAAAUAAAAAUAGAAAAUCCUUUUGAAAAAAUAAUUACUGUAAUAGACAAUAAUGACUAUAGCUAUAAAGAAAUUGAUAUAGAAGAAGAUUUAGAGAUAGUAAAAGAAAGAUUAAGCACUUCAAGCGUACCAAAUACAUUGACAAGAGCUACCUCAUCAAGGAUGAGUACAUCUAAAAGAAAAUAUGAAAUUCCACAAAGCUUAUUAGAUAAAGAAGAAAUAACACCAUAUCAUUAUUUUAUAAGAGGAAUAAUAGACCAAAGAAAAUAUAAAAUAUUAAUAAAUACAGGACAAGAAGAAAAUUAUAUAACAAGAGAGUUAAUAUUAGAAGAAGAAAUUAUAAGAACAGGACAUACAUGCCCUGGACUACCUAGUGAGAUAGUGAACACGAAUGAAGAAACAACAGAAAAACAAAUAAUUAUAGGAGGAAUACCCUUAGUAAUACAAUUAAAAUAUACCAAGGAAAUCCUAAUAUUACAUUAGGAAUAAAAUGGUUAGAAAAAGUCAAACCAUACAAUAUAGAAAAUGAACAAUUAACAAUAACUUGUCAAGAUAAGAAAAUAAUUAUAAAAAGGACAAAAUGAUUAAUGAAAAUAUUUAUACUUGCAAAAUUUAUAGUAGAAGGAUAUCACAACAGAUAUUAUACCCCUAUGAUAGAUACAGGAGCAGAAGUGAAUAUAUGUAAAUAUAAUUGCUUACCAGAAGAUAAAUGGGAAAAAUUAAAAACACCUAUGGUAGUAACGGGAUUUAACAAUGAAGGAAGUAUGAUUAAAUACAAAGCAAAAAAUAUAAAAAUACAAAUAUGGGAUAAAAUACUAACAAUAGAAGAAAUGUAUAAUUUUGAAUUUACUACAAAAGAUAUGUUAUUAGGAAUGCCAUUUAUAGAUAGAUAUUAUCCACACAUAAUAACAAAAACACAUUGGUGGCUUACUACACCAUGCGGAAAUAAGAUAGGAGCAAAAAGAGUAAAUAAUAAACAACGAAAACCUAUGGAAUGGAUAAAAGGAAGUGAAAAGAUAAACCAAGAAAUGGAAAAUAUAAAUAAUAAACAAAUAACGCAAUUAGAAAUUAUUAUAUUUGCUAUAGACAAAGUCAAAUUAAUUAAUGAACAACUAGAACAAUUAUAUAGUGAAGAUCCAUUACAAGGAUGAGAAAAACAUAAGACAAAAGUAAAAAUUGAAUUAAUAGAUGAAAAUGGUAUAAUAACACAGAAACCAUUAAAAUAUAACUUUGAUGAUCUAGAAGAAUUUAAAAUACAUAUAAAUGAAUUGUUAGAAAAUAAUUACAUACAAAAAAGCAAUAGUAAACAUACAAGUCCAGCAUUUAUAGUAAUAAAACACAGUGAACAAAAAAGAGGUAAAAGUAGAAUGGUCAUAGAUUAUCGUAAUCUAAAUGCUAAAACUAAAACAUACAAUUAUCCGAUACCAAACAAAAUACUAAAAAUAAGACAAAUACAAGGAUAUAAUUAUUUUAGAAAAUUUGACUGCAAAUCAGGAUUUUACCACCUAAAACUAGAAGAAGAAUCCAAACAAUUAACAGCAUUCACAGUACCGCAAGGUUUCUAUGAAUGGAAUGUUUUACCUUUUGGAUAUAAAAAUGCACCAGGUAGAUUCCAACAUUUUAUGGAUAACUGUUUUAACCAACUAGAAAAUUGUAUUGUAUAUAUAGAUGACAUAUUGCUAUAUUCUAGAACACAAGAUGAACAUAUAAGAUUAUUGGAAAAAUUUAUACAUAUAGUAAAAAACACAGGUAUAAGUUUGAGUAAAAGAAAAGCAGAAAUUAUGAAAUCACAAAUAGAAUUUUUAGGAAUACAAAUAGAUAAAAAUUGAAUAAAAAUGCAAACUCAUAUAGUACAAAAAAUAAUUACUAUUGAUGAAAAUAUAGAUACAAAAAAGAAAUUACAAUCCUUUCUAGGAUUAGUAAACCAGGUAAAAGAAUAUAUACCAAAAUUAGCAGAACAUUUAAAACCAUUACAUAAAAAACUUAAAAAAGAUGUAGAAUAUCAUUUUGAUAAUAAAGAUAAAAAACAUAUAAAAAUUAUUAAGAAUCUAUGUAAAAAAUUACCAAAACUAUAUUUUCCUGAUGAAAAUAAAACAUUUACUUACAUUGUUGAAGCAGAUUCGAGUGAUCAUAGUUACGGAGGAGUUUUAAAAUACAAAUAUGAAAAAGAAAAAAUAGAACACCAUUGUAGAUAUUAUUCAGGAUCUUAUACAGAAGCACAAAUAAAAUGGGAAAUAAAUAGAAAAGAAUUAUUCGCAUUAUAUAAAUGUUUAUUAGCAUUUGAACCAUAUAUUGUUUACAAUAAAUUUAUUUUAAGAACAGAUAACACACAAGGUAAAAUGGUGGAUAACAAAAAAAUAGAAGAUUCAGUUACAACAAAAGAAAUAAGGAGAUUAGUAUUGAAUAUAUUAAAUUUUACAUUUACAAUUGAAGUAAUAAGACUCACAAGAACCUUGUUGAAGACUACCUAUCAAGAAAAAGGAACUCAAACUGAACAAGAUACAAUAGAAGAAAUACUCAAAGCAAUUACUACACUUUCUACGAAGGUGGACAGUAUGGGAAAAGAUUACAAAAUCGGAAAGCUAACAGUCAGCAGCAUGACUCUAAAAAUGUGGAGCUACGUCGUUCGGCGGACGGUAAAAAGCCAGAACUAGAAGGAGACGUUGGGAAACUCUAUAAAACUCAUGACAACGUUUGUUUAAAUGCAGCUACAGCAAGCACAUCUACAACAAAAGGAGCCAGUGGAAUAAGAUAUACAAAUUUAAAUAUGAACAAAAUCUUCGAUAAACCAUUUAUUCCAAAGAACCAAAAAGACUCAUUAUUUAUACCACCACAAAUACAUACUUACUCAGAAAGUUUAAACCAGGAUAAAAAAGCCUACAACCACAUAACCCGCUCAUAUAUUGAAAACCUUUAUAAAAUCCAAAAUUAUUUAAACUCAACACCUAGAUCUCCAACUACCAAAGACCCUAAUACUGAUUUUAUAACCCAAAAGCUACAAGGAUAUAAUAAGUUAAUAGCACAACCAGGCACCAAUGCAAAUCUAGUAAAAACAUGUUAUAGUUAUGGAUUACUUAAUAAAGUUUAUACCCAAACAGGAGAUGAAAUAUCUACCAUACCAGAGCUAUACAAAGCCUUUAUGAACUAUAAAAGAAUUACUAAAGGAACAUUGUUUUAUAUAAUAUUUUAUUCAGCACCAGCAGAGAUAUUAUUUGAUGAGAUAAAACCAAUUAUACAAGUUAUAAAAAUUGGUUUGACCAGAGAUAUGAUAAUUCCAGAAGAUAUCGGAAUACAACAAGAAAUACAAAAGAUUGAGAUACCAGAAUUCUACGCCAACAAAAGAGUUAUAGGAAUAGAAACUAUCCUAAAUGAACUAACUAACAAUUAUUUAAACGGAAAUUCAGUAUGGAGAUAUUAUGUACGAGAGCAAGUUAUGAUAUAUACAAAUUCUAAAGAAAUCAGAGAACAAGAUAUGGAAGAGAUACACCAAUGGAUACUGAGUCUACUCAAAGCCAGAGCAAAAACCAACAACAAGAGCAUUAAUGAAAGGGUUUAUUUUGGAAGAAUUAUUGACCAGAUAUUGCAAAAUUAUUGGACAAAAAUACCCCGACCAUAUAUGGUCAAAAUGUCAAGGAGAAGAUAAUGUCAUACCAGACGUUCAAAUCGAAUAAAAAAAAGUUUUGUAUUUUGUAUUUUGUUUCUCAGGUCCCCCGACUGAUUCUAUCAUAGAGGCCAACGAUAGACAAUA